rnacentral:rRNA from 2 species
ACGGUCCUAAGGUAGCGAAAUUCCUUGUCGGGUAAGUUCCGACCUGCACGAAUGGCGUAAUGAUGGCCAGGCUGUCUCCACCCGAGACUCAGUGAAAUUGAACUCGCUGUGAAGAUGCAGUGUACCCGCGGCAAGACGGAAAGACCCCGUGAACCUUUACUAUAGCUUGACACUGAACAUUGAGCCUUGAUGUGUAGGAUAGGUGGGAGGCUUUGAAGUGUGGACGCCAGUCUGCAUGGAGCCGACCUUGAAAUACCACCCUUUAAUGUUUGAUGUUCUAACGUUGGCCCGUAAUCCGGGUUGCGGACAGUGUCUGGUGGGUAGUUUGACUGGGGCGGUCUCCUCCUAAAGAGUAACGGAGGAGCACGAAGGUUGGCUAAUCCUGGUCGGACAUCAGGAGGUUAGUGCAAUGGCAUAAGCCAGCUUGACUGCGAGCGUGACGGCGCGAGCAGGUGCGAAAGCAGGUCAUAGUGAUCCGGUGGUUCUGAAUGGAAGGGCCAUCGCUCAACGGAUAAAAGGUACUCCGGGGAUAACAGGCUGAUACCGCCCAAGAGUUCAUAUCGACGGCGGUGUUUGGCACCUCGAUGUCGGCUCAUCACAUCCUGGGGCUGAAGUAGGUCCCAAGGGUAUGGCUGUUCGCCAUUUAAAGUGGUACGCGAGCUGGGUUUAGAACGUCGUGAGACAGUUCGGUCCCUAUCUGCCGUGGGCGCUGGAGAACUGAGGGGGGCUGCUCCUAGUACGAGAGGACCGGAGUGGACGCAUCACUGGUGUUCGGGUUGUCAUGCCAAUGGCACUGCCCGGUAGCUAAAUGCGGAAGAGAUAAGUGCUGAAAGCAUCUAAGCACGAAACUUGCCCCGAGAUGAGUUCUCCCUGACUCCUUGAGAGUCCUGAAGGAACGUUGAAGACGACGACGUUGAUAGGCCGGGUGUGUAAGCGCAGCGAUGCGUUGAGCUAACCGGUACUAAUGAACCGUGAGGCUUAACCUU